rnacentral:rRNA from 1 species
GGUUUAAUUCGACGCAACGCGAAGAACCUUACCUGGGCUUGAACUGCAGACGAUCGACGGCGAAAGUCGUUUCCCGCAAGGGCGUCUGUAGAGGUGCUGCAUGGCUGUCGUCAGCUCGUGUCGUGAGAUGUUGGGUUAAGUCCCGCAACGAGCGCAACCCUUGUCUGCUGUUGCCAUCAGGUUAAGCUGGGCACUCUGCGGAGACUGCCGGUGACAAACCGGA